UACGUAGGGUGCAAGCGUUGUCCGGAAUUAUUGGGCGUAAAGAGCUCGUAGGCGGUUUGUCGCGUCUGCUGUGAAAACCCGAGGCUCAACCUCGGGCCUGCAGUGGGUACGGGCAGACUAGAGUGCGGUAGGGGAGAUUGGAAUUCCUGGUGUAGCGGUGAAAUGCGCAGAUAUCAGGAGGAACACCGGUGGCGAAGGCGGGUCUCUGGACAGUUCCUGACACUGAGGCACGAAGGCCAGGGGAGCAAACGGG
rnacentral:rRNA from 1 species